rnacentral:misc_RNA from 1 species
AAAUGCGAUAAGUAAUGUGAAUUGCCGAAUUCAGUGAAUCAUCGAAUCUUUGAACGCACCUUGCGCUCCUUGGUAUUCCUUGGAGCAUGCCUGUUUGAGUAUCAUGAAAUCUUCAAAGUAAAUCUUUUGUUAACUCAAUUGGUUUCUACUUUGGUAUUGGAGGUCUUUGCAGCUUCACACCUGCUCCUCUUUGUUCAUUAGCUGGAUCUCAGUGUUAUGCUUGGUUCCACUCGGCGUGAUAAGUUAUCUAUCGCUGAGGACACUGUAAAAGGUGGCCAAGGUAAAUGCAGAUGAACCGCUUCUAAUAGUCCAUUGACUUGGACAAUACUUUUAUGAUCUGAUCUCAAAUCAGGUAGGACUACCCGCUGAACUUAAGC